AGAGUUUGAUCCUGGCUCAGAAUCAACGCUGGCGGCGCGCUUAACAUAUGCAAGUCGAACGAGAAAGGGGAGCAAUCCCUGAGUAAAGUGGCGUACGGGUGAGUAACACGUGGGUAAUCUACCUUUUGGUGGGGAAUAACCCUGGGAAACCGGGGCUAAUACCGCAUAAGCCUGAAAAGGGAAAGGCGAAAGUCGCCGAAAGAGGAGCCCGCGGCUGAUUAGCUAGUUGGUGAGGUAAAGGCUCACCAAGGCGAAGAUCGGUAGCCGGCCUGAGAGGGCACACGGCCACACUGGCACUGAAACACGGGCCAGACUCCUACGGGAGGCAGCAGUGGGGAAUCUUGCACAAUGGGGGAAACCCUGAUGCAGCGACGCCGCGUGAGUGAUGAAGCCCUUCGGGGUGUAAAGCUCUUUCGGCAGGGACGAUAAUGACGGUACCUGAAGAAGAAGCUGCGGCUAACUACGUGCCAGCAGCCGCGGUAAUACGUAGGCAGCGAGCGUUGUUCGGAGUUACUGGGCGUAAAGCGCGCGUAGGCGGUUGCCUAAGUCUGGGGUGAAAGGUUCAGGGCUUAACCCGAACAGUGCCUUGGAUACUGGGCGACUUGAGUGCCGAAGAGGAAAGCGGAAUUCCUGGUGUAGCGGUGAAAUGCGUAGAUAUCAGGAGGAACACCGAUGGCGAAGGCAGCUUUCUGGUCGGCAACUGACGCUGAGGUGCGAAAGCGUGGGGAGCGAACGGGAUUAGAUACCCCUGUAGUCC
rnacentral:rRNA from 1 species